ensembl:lncRNA
CGGUGUUGCCUGACGGGGCCUCAAAUCCCAGCUCUUCUGCAGUAGCUGGAGUAGCCUGGACAAAUCGUUGCGCCUCUCUGAGCUUCAGCUUCCUUGUCUGUAAAGUGGGCUUGUUGCUCCCCUGGCCCCGAGGAACACGGGUGAGGACGAGAGUGGGUGCUGCCUGCCUGGCACUGGUGCCUGCGCUGUCACCUCCUUUAUGUGAGGCAUCGGAGGACCAGCCCAAAGCGAAAUGCCCUCCUCGUGGAACCUCUGGGCCCUGCAAGCCUGGCGAGCAGUCCAGAACUCACUGAAUCACAGACUCAUAAUAGUGGGCCAGCAGUGAAGACUCUGAGCUCCCGAUACAGGGGGGCCAAACCGUGGUGCUGGAGAAGACUCUUGAGAGUCCCUUGACAGCAAGGAGAUCAAACCAGUCCAUUCUAAAGGAACUGAUCCCUGAAUAGUCGUUGGUAGGACUGAUGCUGAAGCUGAAGCUCCAGUACUUUGGCCGUGUGAUGUGAAGAGCUGACUCAUUGGAAAAGACCCUGAUGCUGGGAAAGAUUGAGGGCAGGAGGAGAAGGGGACGACAGAGGAUGAGAUGUUGGAUGGCAUCAUCGACUCAACGGACGCAAGUUUGAGCAAACUCCAGGAGACAGUUAAGGACCGGGAAGCUUGGCAUGCUGCAGUCCAUGGGUCGCAAAGAGUCAGGCAUAACUUAGCGAUUGAACAGCAACAACAGGGAACUAUAUCCUACCUGCCGAAACGAGGACCUGGCACAGCCAAAAAACAAAUAUUUAAUUUUUCACUAUUUUUCCUGACCAGACAAGAAUGUCCCAUGAUGAAGGACCUUGUCACCCUCGUAACGGCAUCCCCAGAGCCUAGACCUGUGCUUGGCAUACUUGUUGUUCAGUCACUAAGUCGUGUCCGACUCUUUUGCGACCCCAUGGACUGCAGCACGCCAGGCUUCCCUGUCCUUCACCAACUCCUGGAGUCUAUUGAAUCAGUGAUGCUAUCUAACCAUCUCAUCUGUUGUACAUGCUUGGCAUACAGCAGGUGCUCAAUAAAUAUCUACCGAAUGACUGAACGCAUCGUGCCAGCAUCAGGAUGCCACUGGGGCCCCGAGGGAGCCGGAGAGAUGGAAGGAAAGCUCCUGGACUCCUGCCACGUCUUACAUUAGUGGCUUCUUCUCUAUCAGCCGGCCCCCAGGGAC